rnacentral:rRNA from 1 species
UUCCGGUUGAUCCUGCCGGACCUGACUGCUAUCGGAUUGAUACUAAGCCAUGCGAGUCAUUGUAGCAAUACAAGGCAGACGGCUCAGUAACGCGUAGUCAACCUACCCUAUGGACGGGAAUAACCUCGGGAAACUGAGUAUAAUGCCCGAUAGAACACUAUACCUGGAAUGGUUUGUGUUCCAAAUGAUUUAUCGCCGUAGGAUGGGACUGCGGCCUAUCAGUUUGUUGGUGAGGUAAUGGCCCACCAAGACUAUUACAGGUACGGGCUCUGAGAGGAGUGGCCCGGAGAUGGGUACUGAGACACGGACCCAGGCCCUAUGGGGCGCAGCAGGCGAGAAAACUUUGCAAUGUGCGAAAGCACGACAAGGUUAAUCCGAGUGAUUUGUGCUAAACGAAUCUUUUGUUAGUCAUAGAACCACUAACGAAUAAGGGGUGGGCAAGUUCUGGUGUCAGCCGCCGCGGUAAAACCAGCACCUCAAGUGGUCAGGAUGAUUAUUGGGCCUAAAGCAUCCGUAGCCGGCUCUGUAAGUUUUCGGUUAAAUCUGUACGCUUAACGUACAGGCUGCCGGGAAUACUGCAGAGCUAGGGAGUGGGAGAGGUAGACGGUACUCGGUAGGAAGGGGUAAAAUCCUUUGAUCUAUUGAUGACCACCUGUGGCGAAGGCGGUCUACCAGAACACGUCCGACGGUGAGGGAUGAAAGCUGGGGGAGCAAACCGGAUUAGAUACCCGGGUAGUCCCAGCUGUAAACUAUGCAAACUCAGUGAUGCAUUGACUUGUGGUCAAUGCAGUGCUGCAGGGAAGCCGUUAAGUUUGCCGCCUGGGAAGUACGUACGCAAGUAUGAAACUUAAAGGA